rnacentral:rRNA from 1 species
GAUGGACGCUAGCGGCAGGCUUAAUACAUGCAAGUCGAGGGGCAGCAGUUUUGUAGCAAUACAGAAGCUGGCGACCGGCAAACGGGUGUGGAACACGUACGCAACCUUCCUUUAACUGGAAGAUAGCCCACCGAAAGGUGGAUUAAUACUCCAUAACAUAUUGAAGAGGCAUCUUUUUGAUAUUAAAGCUCCGGCGGUUAAAGAUGGGCGUGCGUCUGAUUAGGUAGUUGGCGGGGUAACGGCCCACCAAGCCUUCGAUCAGUAGCUGAUGUGAGAGCAUGAUCAGCCACACGAGCACUGGGACACGGGCCCGACUCCUACGGGAGGCAGCAGUAAGGAAUAUUGGUCAAUGGACGCAAGUCUGAACCAGCCAUGCCGCGUGGAGGAUGAAGGCCCCCUGGGUUGUAAACUUCUUUUCUUUGGGACGAAACCCCUGUUUCUACGGGGACUGACGGUACCAGAGGAAUAAGCACCGGCUAACUCCGUGCCAGCCGCCGCGGUAAGAC